rnacentral:rRNA from 1 species
UACGUAGGGUGCAGGCGUUAAUCGGAAUUACUGGGCGUAAAGCGUGCGCAGGCGGUCUCUUAAGACAGGUGUGAAAUCCCCGGGCUUAACCUGGGAACUGCGCUUGUAACUGAGAGGCCAGAGUGUGGCAGAGGGGGGUGGAAUUCCACGUGUAGCAGUGAAAUGCGUAGAGAUGUGGAGGAACACCGAUGGCGAAGGCAGCCCCCUGGGCUAACACUGACGCUCAUGCACGAAAGCGUGGGGAGCAAACAGG